GCUGCUAAGGCAGACCUGAUGCUGGGAACCGGAAGAAGGCCCCCAGGAGGUGGGGCCUGGCCUCACUGCCAUCUGAAGGGAAGAUAAAUUCUCCACCUAAAGCAGCCAUCCUCCUGAGCAUCCCCAUGUGUAAGCCACCAAGAACAAAAACCUUGAGCAAGAAGAGCUUCAGCAAGGAGCCUAUGGCUAAGCGCCCCACAGAUGGAAGGGAGAGGGGGAAGGGCAAGGAGGACCACCAUCCGAGGCAGAGCACUUGACAGUUGAGAAGGAGGUGCCACCGGAUGUUUCAGGCUGACUGGUUUGCAGAAGCUAAAAGGUACAGGUCUGGAGGUCGGGAAUCUAGAAGACAUUUUAGAGGGCAAAGGUCAAGGUAGUACCGGGGUAGCUUCUGCUGGAGGCUCUGAGGAGAGAGCGCAGCAUCCUCCCGGCUUCUGGAGUCCUCCUUAGUCCUUGGCUUGCCCCGACACCAGACUGGAGGAGCGAUGCACUCGAUUCUCCUGCCUGCAGCUGGAGUGGAUUCUGUCUCAUCUUGCUCAACCCUGUGAUAAAUGCUGUAUGCUUUGUCUCUGCCUGUUCUGACCAGGCCAGUCCCAUCCUGCCUGCUAUUCAUCCUGUGUUCCUGCUACCACACUGGCUUGGCACAGCUUAGGGGCUGUUGGCUCCACACCAGGUCCUCUUCCUCUGCCCCUUCCAAGCCCACACCAUAGAGAAUGUGAUCUCUUCACUCAAAAUCUUCCAGGAACUAGACACACGAGGUGCCUGCUCUCAAGGUACUGAGCUUGGGAUUGGCCCUCCUAGCUCCAUUCUGGAAUCGGAGUGUAAAAGUCAGCACAGCAACCUUGUGUGUGCCUCCGUAAAGCAACUCUGUGAUUUGAACGUCAUGGGGCCUCAGUUUCCCAUUUGUGCCAAGUAGUUGAUACUGUAAAGCCCCACCAUGACAGUCUUGUAAAAUGCAAGGAUAUGUUGCCAAAAAAUUAACAUGUGAGUCAGG